CGAAAAAUAUUUUUGGGGCGAAAGAGGUGGCGAAAAAUAUACUUUUGGGGCGAAAGAGGUGGCGAAAAAGAAAAUUGACCCAGGGGAAUCCCUGCAGAUGGGUAUUGACAAGUUUUAAAAAAAUCUGGAAAUCACAUCCUAAUUUUUACGGUUAUAUUGUUUAUAAAGCACGUAAAUUUAAAUCCGAUCUAUGUGAACAUUUGUGUCCUUUGAACAAUUUUAUUCUGAUAGGAUAUCAUGUAAACCCCGUUUGUUGGUGGGGUUUGUGUUGCUCAGUUUUUAUUUUUCCUGUGUUGUGUUCUGUAUACUGUUGUUUGUCGUCUGUCUUUGUCCUCUGUCUUUGUCCUCUGUCUUUGUCGUCUUCGUUGUCUGUCUUUGUCGUCUGUCUUUUUCGUUUUUUACCAGUAGUCAGUCUAUUUUAGACUUAUGAUAUCCCUUUAGGAUCUUUCGACUUUCUGCUUGAACAUGAUUUUUAUUUAGUCGAACUACUGUAUCCCUAGCCUGUCAACACUGAGGUUGCGAGUUCGAAUCCUGCUCAUGGCAGGUGCACUCUACUCCAAUCUUAAUUGACUAGGAUUGUCAGUUUUCCUACCGAAGGUCAGUGAAUUUCUCUGGCCACUCCGGCUUCCUCCACCAAUAAAAACAGACCGCCAUGAAAUAGAAUGGUUCUGAAAGUGGCGUUUAACACAAAUCAAUCAAUCAUUCAACAUGUUUCUCUAAAACGGUUAUAAACGAACCAACGCGAAUAACAUGGUCUUCUACUUCAACAAUAAACUAUAAGUUACGUAAUAUUCGUGAUAAAACUAGCCAAGUAGGUGUCAUUGAAGUUGGAAUCAGUGGUCAUUCUAAAAUUCGUGAUAAAACUAGCCAAGUAGGUGUCAUUGAAGUUAGAAUCAGUGGUCAUUCUAAAAUUCUUGAUAAAACUAGCCAAGUAGGUGUCAUUGAAGUUAGAAUCAGUGGUCAUUCUAAUAUGUGUGAUAAAACUAGUCAUGUAGGUGUCAUCGAAGUUGGAAUCAGUGGUCAUUCUAAUAUUCGUGAUAAAACUAGCCAAGUAGGUGUCAUUGAAGUUAGAAUUAGUGGUCAUUCUAAUAUUCGUGAUAAAACUAGCCAAGUAGGUGUCAUUGAAGUUGGAAUCAGUGGUCAUUCUAAUAUUCGUGAUAAAACUAGUCAAGUAGGUGUCAUUGAAGUUAGAAUCAGUGGUCAUUCUAAUAUUCGUGAUAAAACUAGCCAAGUAGGUGUCAUUGAAGUUAGAAUCAGUGGUCAUUCUAAUAUUUGUGAUAAACUAGUCAAGUAGGUGUCAUUGAAGUUAGAAUCAGUUACCAUUCUAUAAAAUAUAGUACGAGGAAACAAAGAAAGAACAAACAGGUAAAAUCAUUGAAACACUAUUCAAAAAAAGAGGCGAACACGUCUGAUCAUAUGCAGAAAUGCAGAACCAAGUAUUUGAAACUUUUAGAAAAAUUAUUCAAUUUAACUAUAUUUUUAAAGCCCGUAUAAUGCAAUGAAAAUAAAACACAAUUUAAAACCGUGGAUGAAAUCAUAAAUUUUAGAUUAUUUAAGAAACGAGACUCUUUCUUACUAUAACCAGUAUACAAAAAAUAAAAUCAAAAAAUAUUUUUGGACUACUGCAAAAUAAGAAAUUUGGUACAUAGAACUGUAGAAAAGGCAAAAGAAUGAAAUAUAUCUAGCAAAAUUGUAGAUAACAAAAAUGCCCCGGGCAAUAAUGAAACAACUUAGACACUGGUCAUUUUCUUUUAUUGGAGGGAUCUGGGAUAAAUUUUAUCAAUUUUACAUAUAAAUUGAAGUACCUCUUCUGAAGGCAUAAAUAUUCGCCUGUCUCAUUUCUAAAUACCUAUAUAGUGUGUUGACAGAACAUACACCGAUGCAAUUUCUCAUUGUUGCUUCGCACCACGAAUAGUCAAAUCUGUAAAAUAUUUGACAGGUCUGAGGCCUGUGGUCACAAAACUGUUCAAUGUUUUACAGAACGAACUGAUGGAGGCUCAUAACUUACUCAAAAAAUUGUUUAACUUGUCAAAGAAGAUGAUAAAAGCAAAUGCCCUCCUCCUCCUCCUCCUCCCCCCCCCCCC